CAGCAGCCGCGGUAACACGAAGGGUGCAAGCGUUAAUCGGAAUUACUGGGCGUAAAGCGUGCGUAGGCGGUGAGUUAAGUCUGCUGUGAAAUCCCCGGGCUCAACCUGGGAAUGGCAGUGGAUACUGGCUCGCUAGAGUGUGUCAGAGGAUGGUGGAAUUCCCGGUGUAGCGGUGAAAUGCGUAGAGAUCGGGAGGAACAUCAGUAGCGAAGGCGGCCAUCUGGGACAACACUGACGCUGAGGCACGAAAGCGUGGGGAGCAAACAGGAUUAGAUACCCCCGUAGUCCCUGUCUCUUAUAC
rnacentral:rRNA from 1 species